AGAUUGAACGCUAGCGGGAUGCUUUACACAUGCAAGUCGAACGGCAGCGCGGACUUCGGUCUGGCGGCGAGUGGCGAACGGGUGAGUAAUAUAUCGGAACGUGCCCAGUAGCGGGGGAUAACUACGCGAAAGCGUGGCUAAUACCGCAUACGCCCUACGGGGAAAGGGGGGGAUUCUCGGAACCUCUCACUAUUGAGCGGCCGACUAUCAGAUUAG
rnacentral:rRNA from 1 species